rnacentral:tRNA from 1 species
AGUUUAUGAACUUGUUAUAAGUAUAUAUUUUGAAAAUAUAAAAAAGAGACCAUAAUUCUCUAUAAACUU